AACACGGUGACCGCCCCACUUGCCCCACCUAGUCCACCAGCUCCACCUGCUCAGUGAGAGGAUUGCACAAAUACACUGCCAGAAAGACAAGUAAAGCAAGGAAGAGGAUCACUGCAGAGAUGUCAGUCAGCCACACACCCAGCCAGCCAGCCAGCCAGCCAGUCAUUGAGUGAUGAUGAUGUUGAUUUUAGAGUUGUAGGACAAAUGAAUAAAUAAAUAAAACAUGAA